rnacentral:rRNA from 1 species
UACAGGGGGUGCAAGCGUUGCCCGGAAUCAUUGGGCGUAAAGCGCACGUAGGCGGUUUGUUAUGUCGGAUGUGAAAGCCCUCGGCUUAACUGAGGAAGUGCAUCCGAAACUGGCAGGCUAGAGUACCAAAGAGGGUCGCGGAAUUCCCGGUGUAGAGGUGAAAUUCGUAGAUAUCGGGAGGAACACCGGUGGCGAAGGCGGCGACCUGGGUGGAUACUGACGCUGAGGUGCGAAAGCGUGGGGAGCAAACAGG